AUCGCAUGAAAAAUGCAGUAACUGAUAAAAAAGAGUUGGAUGGAACCAGGUUGGCGCUCUUCUUGCAAUCUUGUUAAGGCAGCUAAAUCCCGAAUAGGGGACUUGGAGUGAAACAAUAUAAGAGAGAGGAGCGAGUGCGAGAGAAUGAACGACAAAUGAGGGCAAGGCAUUCGGGUAGGAGCCAAGGUGGUGAUUGAUGCCUUCAACUAGGUCAUGUAACGUUGAAGCAAGAGCAAGGAAGAACUCCCUAUUCAUUGGCUUUGACAAAUUCAAUGAGGCCAAUGAGAAAGAAACUGGGGGAGGGUAAAAGGGAAAGUUGUACUGAUACCUUCCUCUCUCUCCUGUUUUUACACCAUCAUCAUCUUCUUCAUGCCUCUUUCAACAAAUGCAUAAAUUUCAUUUUGUUGAUUUGGUGCCUGUGGUGCCUUGUGAAUAUGAAUUACGGAGAGGGGCUUAUAUAGAAAUGGAUUAAGAUAACACCCGAACAUGUGAAACCCUAGCCUACAUUUAGGGUGUGUUUGGGGGAGGGCAGGUUCUCUUUUUCUUCAGGGUUGGGGGUGGCGGUGCCGCCGUCACUUCUCGCGGUUUGGUGCGAACGCCGAAAGCCACCUAUAUGUCACGGCCCAGCUUCGUCGACACGGCUUUUACCCCCGUGCCCCUUUUACAUGCCCUAACUGCGACCCUCCUCUUCUCCGACCGGUGACGGUUCCUGGUCAUCUUACUCCUGUUCUCCUUGUCCUUGUCUUUCUCUUCUCACUAUCUCCCCACAACAGCGUGCGGGAGAGCUGGGAAACAAUUUGGGCUGGUGAGGUUUUUGACCGAUGCAGGAGCUGAAGCAAAGGAGAAAAUUGGGUCUCACUUGGUCACUGGAGAGUGAGCUGUAGAUGGUGUUAUGUAGAAAGAAAGGAGAAAUCUUGGGAGGGAAGAGCUAUGGACGAGAGUGAGUCAGAAAAAUAUGAGCUCAAGGAAUUCAGGGACAGAACGAUGAUUACUCUGCCACCGUGGCCUCCAAACUUCCCUAUUGAUGUCACGUCGGUCGCACAACUACGGGACAAAGUUCUAUAGCUGCCCACGGAGCAUCGCACAACAGUGUGACUUUUUCCGUUGGGCAGACAGUUCGAAGGAUUGCCCUGACGACGUUGAUCGGGAAUGGAAAACAUCACUCAAGGAAAGUCUAGCACAGG